GAUCCUGGCUCAGGACGAACGCUGGCGGCGUGCCUAAUACAUGCAAGUAGAACGCUGAAGGAAGGAGCUUGCUCUUUCCUGAUGAGUUGCGAACGGGUGAGUAACGCGUAGGUAACCUGCCUGGUAGCGGGGGGAUAACUAUUGGAAACGAUAGCUAAUACCGCAUAACAGUAGAUAUCGCAUGAUAGCUACUUGAAAGGUGCAAUUGCACCACUACCAGAUGG
rnacentral:rRNA from 1 species